UACGUAGGGCGCAAGCGUUAUCCGGAUUUAUUGGGCGUAAAGAGCUCGUAGGCGGUUUGUCGCGUCUGCCGUGAAAGUCCGAGGCUCAACCUCGGAUCUGCGGUGGGUACGGGCAGACUAGAGUGAUGUAGGAGAGACUGGAAUUCCUGGUGUAGCGGUGAAAUGCGCAGAUAUCAGGAGGAACACCGAUGGCGAAGGCAGGUCUCUGGGCAUUUACUGACGCUGAGGAGCGAAAGCAUGGGGAGCGAACA
rnacentral:rRNA from 1 species